UACGUAGGGUCCGAGCGUUGUCCGGAAUUACUGGGCGUAAAGCGCGCGCAGGCGGCCCGCGAGGUGUCACGUGAAAGCCCCGGGCUCAACCCGGGAGGGUCGUGGCAAACCGGCGGGCUUGAGGCCGGUAGAGGUGGGUGGAACUUCUGGUGGAGUGGUGAAAUGCGUAGAGAUCAGGAAGAACACCCGUGGCGAAGGCGGCCCACUGGGCCGGUACUGACGCUGAGGCGCGAAGGCGUGGGGAGCGAACGGG
rnacentral:rRNA from 1 species